UGGAUUCACUUGGCCUGUCUUC
rnacentral:siRNA from 1 species